GAUGAACGCUGGCGGCGUGCCUAAUACAUGCAAGUCGAGCGAACAGAUGAGGAGCUUGCUCCUCUGACGUUAGCGGCGGACGGGUGAGUAACACGUGGAUAACCUACCUAUAAGACUGGGAUAACUUCGGGAAACCGGAGCUAAUACCGGAUAAUAAAUUGAACCGCAUGGUUCAAUAGUGAAAGACGGUUUUGCUGUCACUUAUAGAUGGAUCCGCGCCGCAUUAGCUAGUUGGUAAGGUAACGGCUUACCGAGGCGACGAUGCGUAGCCGACCUGAGAGGGUGAUCGGCCACACUGGAACUGAGACACGGUCCAGACUCCUACGGGAGGCAGCAGUAGGGAAUCUUCCGCAAUGGGCGAAAGCCUGACGGAGCAACGCCGCGUGAGUGAUGAAGGUCUUCGGAUCGUAAAACUCUGUUAUUAGGGAAGAACAAAUGUGUAAGUAACUAUGCACGUCUUGACGGUACCUAAUCAGAAAGCCACGGCUAACUACGUG
rnacentral:rRNA from 1 species